GGCCAAGACCAAGGCCAAACAUCAGGAGGAACGUCAACAAGUCCAGCGGCUGAGUGAGUGCAAUAAAACCCAAGCAGUAAGCAGCGUUUAGUCUGCGUCCUGGCCGCCGAGCCCCAGCACGGCACACCACUGUGACACCAGCGGGCCAGUAACACGAGGAGGAAGGCGCUGAAGGAGGCAGGGGCCGGAAAUAAGGUCGGACAGGAUGGGUUGUGACGGAGGCACCAUACCCAGGAGGGACGAACUCGUCAAGACCAAAAAGAAGCCUGAACAGAAAGACAAAAAUUCUGAGCGUCUGUACCGAUGGAAGCACUGCGCGCUCUCCCAGGCUCCGCUGAGGGCCCCCGUGGUGGCCUGCGAGCUGGGGCGGAUGUACAACAAGGAGGAGGUGUUGGCGAGGCUCCUGGACCGCAGCAACGAGGCAGCCAUUGCCCACAUCAAGGGCCUGAAGGAUGUGAAGGAGCUUGGCCUCACCCCCAACCCUGGACACCAACCCGAGGGACCGCUGACGGGUGACGCUGCCCCAGACCAACUAACAGCCGAGAAUGUCUGUCCCGUCACUGGCCUGGAGAUGAACGGGCGUCACCGCUUCUCCUUCGUGUGGACCUGUGGCUGUGUGGUGUCUGAACGUGCGCUGCGAGAAGUCCCCACUGAGAUCUGUCAUCGCUGUGGUGCUCCCUUCAAAGAGGAGGACCUGGUGCCCCUCAACCCACCCGAAGAGGAACUGGAGACUGUAAGGUGUGCCAUGAUCACUCGCCGUGCUGCUGCCAAGUCCGCCAAGAAGGCCAAGAAGGAAGGGAAGAGGGCAGCGGAAGGGGACGGAGAGGAGGCAUCGGGACCCAGUGGAAGCAAACCCAAAAAAGCAGCAAAGCACAGUGAAGCCAGCACAAGCGGUGAACCAACAUCAAACCGCCCUGCCCUGCGCGUGAAUGGUGUGGCAUCAGCCGUGCUCAGAGACAAGGCGUUCGACAAGGUGCGCUCGUCCGGCUUCAGCGUGGCGUCCGACCCCAAGGCUUCGGAGGCGUAUAAGAGUCUCUUCGACACCCACAAAACUGCCAACAAGAAUCCGCGUGCACAUUGGGUCACGUGCAACCCUCAGUACUUCUAGACUUUUUUUAUUCACUUGCCUUUCUCGUUCUUCCAUUUCUUUCUCUCUUUUGUCUAAGGUCUUUGUUUCUUUAUUUUUUUCUCGCUCUCUUUCUCUCUCUUACCUUAACACAAACCCCUGCUUCUCUAUUUUGCUCUCUCUCAUCUUCUCUAUUGAACUCUCCCUCCUCCCAAACUUUCCUCAGCCUCCUUCAUCUCAUCUUUUUACCCUUUCCUUCUCUCCCUCAUUUCUUUUUGUAUUCUACUGUCUUGUCUUUUUUUUCCUGUUUUGUUUGUUGCAUUUAUCUCAUGGGUUUUUAUUCACUAUAGCAGCACAGUUAGUAUUCCAUCAUUACUCAUUCUCUUCCAUGCAGCACAGGGGGUAGAGGUGGUAUCAUCAAAAUUCGUCUUAAAUCACAUGGUCACUACGUAUCUUCAUCCUCUUUUUGUUUAACGUCCUUUUUUUCCCUGAUGGAGUUGGACGGGUUGGACAGAUAAAUUGGAAGCUAUUCUUUAGAUCAUUCACAGACUUCAGCAGGCAACAGAUGCAGGGUCAGGGUAGGAGCUUCAGAGUGGGAGCAGUACAGCAUUUAUUUUCUCAGCACAGACGUAUCACUCAAUGCUGUGUUUGUUCAGCGAUUUUUGGUGUCCUUGCAAAGACUUCAACACAUAUUUUUGUUACAUUUUAUUUGUCUCCAUUUAGAAGUUUUGUAUGUGUUGAGGGUGGUUUGAGUACACAUGCAUCAUUGGUUGAAAGAGGAAAUAUAUACCUAUUUUAUGGACAUUUCACAGAGUAGCAGUUAACAGAUUCAGGCUUUUGAUGGUUUACAGACAGCCAAGGAGUGAGAGGAUGGUUUGAGUACAUACACUAUAGAUAGCAAAAGGGAAAUGCCUAUUCUUUGGACAGUUGACAGACUAAUAGGCAACAGAUUCGGGCUUUUCAUGUGAGGUUUACAGACAGGCAAGAAGUGAGUAGGUAUGUUGUGUUAUUCAUCCUUUCAUAUUUCCACAACACCUCCUCCUUGCACCCAUCUUUUUCUUUAAUCCAUCUCCUCGAACCAAUCUUUUUCUUCCGCAUGACUCUCCGGGCUUCUGGACAUCUGCUGCACUGUAUAAAGGAGUAAUCAGCACCCAUCCUCUUGUAGCUACGUUAGUGGUUCUCCCAGGCACGUGACGACAGCUCUCGGAAGUCCGUCAGCCAGCGCUCACGUCAGUUUAUACGUGCCAGGGAGCUCCGGUGUCUUCAUGGCCUCUGUUAUCAGUGUCCAGAGGCACUCAAACUUGCUCUCCUGCAUCACCUGAAGUGUUUAAGAAUAUAUACGUUAAUGCCAGUUUAGGGACAGGUAGCUCGGUUAGGAGUCAGGGAACAUAAACAUGGGUACUAUUUUUUUUACCAUAAAGGAAGCAGCUCAAGGGAAAAAAAAAGCCUGCUAAUACUGCUCCUAUAAAAUAAAGUGGAGUGGCCAAAAGAGAUGUCAGUUUCGGUUGUUUAAGAGAUGAUGGUUUGUUCCAUGUUAAGAAGGGCAAAUUUGUGUCCAUGGGAAUGUGUGUUGGCUCAUACAUUAAAAUUUGCUUGCUCACCAUCUGUAAGGGUCAUAAAAUACAAACAUGGAUGCUGUAUUAGGGAUGGGUGGCUCUUCUAUAAGGUCCACGCAUUCAUUUAUUCUCCCUAAUCUCUAAAAGUCAGAGAACACAAAAAUGGAUAUUGGUUAAGAGACAGGUUGUUCUGUGUUAAGAGUGCCAAGUUUGUGUCUAUCAGAAUGUGUUGGUAUCCUGCUUUGGGCUGAUUUUUUGUGUUAGACAACAUUCCACUUAUUAAACUUUUCAAAUGAAGUUCAAGCUACAGGAAUGGAACAAAAAGUAUCUGGUACAAUUCAAUGAAGAAAAAUGUAAAGUCAUGCACCUUGAAGGAGAUAUCCGGCAUACCAAUACCACAUGGAAAACACUCCACUAUCCACCACAGAGGCAGAGAAAGACCUGGGAGUAUAUGUUACCAGGCUACCAGUGAAAGCCAAAUCCGUGCCAAUUGCAGCGGACGUAGUAGGGGACUCUAAGCUGCCAUUUUUUGUAGGGCAGCUUUGUGCGAGUCACUAGCUUGAGACGGGAGGACCGAUAAGUACAGGUCUGCCCUUUACACAGCAGUUUUGAAAGUCCUUCGCUAUAUACUAUCUCCCAUCCACUACAUGCAAGAAGGAACCUGUAACUCUGGUGGUUGCAAGAAGCCUCAUUUACCUUGAUCUUGGAGGGGCACUGCUGCGUUCCCUGCAGACACAGCGCCAGGGUCUCCAGGGUCAUUAUCAACAGCUCCAGCUCGUCUUGCCGCUCCUGUAGUUGCUCCUCCACGUCCUGUUCUCCCAGGGAAGUGCUCGACAUCCUCAUAUAUCUCUUAAUAAACUUUCCCAUGAUC